GCAGCCGCCGCGGUAAUACGUAGGUGGCAAGCGUUGUCCGGAAUUAUUGGGCGUAAAGGGCUCGCAGGCGGUUUCUUAAGUCUGAUGUGAAAGCCCCCAGCUCAACCGGGGAGGGUCAUUGGAAACUGGGAAACUUGAGUGCAGAAGAGGAGAGUGGAAUUCCACGUGUAGCGGUGAAAUGCGUAGAGAUGUGGAGGAACACCAGUGGCGAAGGCGACUCUCUGGUCUGUAACUGACGCUGAGGAGCGAAAGCGUGGGGAGCGAGCAGGAUUAGAGACCCCAGUAGUCCCUGUCUCUUAUAC
rnacentral:rRNA from 1 species